rnacentral:snRNA from 1 species
GUUUGCUUGGCACAUAUUUACUCAAACUGCAACAAUACUGAGAUUAGCAUGGCCCCUACACAAGGAUAACAUGCAAAUUUUCCCCAUAUUUUC